rnacentral:snoRNA from 1 species
ACGACCUUACUUGAACAGGAUUAGGAUCUGUUCUAUAAGCUUGUAGCACUAUAUCCUUGAGUUCUAAGGAAACAGGAAAUCAAGUCUGGUUGAUGAGGCAUGGCCAAUAUACCAGAGCAUGAUUAACAACUACCUUAGCCCUCGGGGUCAUGGCGUCAUAGAUGAUUGUUCUCGGCUCCCAACUAUGGGUGUGCUGGGAUGGUCUCAGAGGCAGACC